AGUUCAUGAAUGUUUUUUCCGGGCUGAAAAUUAGAUGAUCUGGUUUUGUGAGCUUCUGAGGCAAAACUUGGUAAAGGAGUAGAGAUCAGAUGUGAUGUUCAAAUAUAUAUGAGCUUUCAACGCAAAAUCUAGUAGAUGCUAAUUAAAGCUAUACAACAUGCAUGGUGGCCAAUUUGUUAAUACCAUCC